AGGAGACCAACAAAGUGCUUUUAAGUAGCUCCUUCCCUUUCUUCAAGCACAGCCUGAGCCACAAAUCCCUAACGGACCGUUCAGGAUCAAGCUGGGUAACCGGAGAUGAGAUACGCAUAAUUGGUACAGUGACACACAUAUAAUUUAUAAAUGAUAUAGGGAGCUGCGGUGCAUAACCGGUCAUUGAGAGAGCAUGGCUAAAGGAGAACAGACGCAGGAGUCAUGUGAUCCGGGCUGUGCAGGACUCAGGACAACUUGCCUGAAUAAGCAGCAUUCGUCCUGAGUCUCACCUGUGAUCUCGCCCGACAGAAGAGCGGGGAACCAUGCCCGUCAGGAGGAAAAGAUGGCAGCGUUUUCUCACAGGUGUGAAAGAAUACGACACUUCUACACAAGGGGUGCCGAGAGAGUCCUGCACCCAGCCCAGGUUCUAGCUCAGCCUCUUACUGCCUGGACUAUUGCGACAGGCUCCAAACCGCCUUACUGCCCUCUGUCUACGUUCUCAGUGCAUCCUGGGCUCUGCUCCAGUCUUCAUGAGCCACUUUGAUGAGUGUCGGCCUCUCAACGACAUGGACUGCCGUUUCCCCAUCCUGCACUGAAAUCCCAGCAGAGGUGACAGUGUCAUUGUCGCUAGAAGCUGGAAGCCGUUAACUGCUGGUGCUUGGCCCUCUAGUGUGGCCCUCCCCUGCGGUAAUGAGGCGGAGAACUUGAGUGGAGGUGGCAGGCAGCCUGGAAGCCACUGACAAUGCACCACAGCUGGCCUGGAGUUUUGCCCGAGCCAGGAGCAGGCUCGGCUGGACCACGAAAGCCUUCGCAAUCUAAAGCAACUGAAAAUUUCAGGUUGUAUGUUACUGCAGCAUAACUUCGCCCACCUCACUGACACUUAUUAUUUUAAAUCCCCGAUGAUUAGGGGUUUCAUUAGAUGACUGAAACCUCAAACAGGGUUCUUGGAAGUUUAGCACCUGAAAAUAACUCUAAAACAAAACAGGGAGCAAUUCAGGGUAAGAGUGAAGGCAUUUGAUCAGAGUUUGAACACCGGUUCCUAUAAGUUGCAAGUUCUAGGUCCUGCGCUGGCAGUUUUUAAAUCCUUUGGUCUCAAGACCCCUUUGUACUCUUAAAAAUUAUUG